CAAAAAUGUACUGUACAGUCUAACACACGUUAGAGAGAUGAAGUUGACCUAUUGUUGGUACUCUACCUUGCAACAAACAAAUUCAGAACAAACAUGACGGACUGGAGUGCUAAAUCAAAGAAUCCAUCCGGUCAGUUGUGGCUGGACGGAGCUUGACUCAACUGGUAGCCGCAGAUUGCUGCUGGUCGCUGUGCGGCCAACAACUCGCAUGGCCGCUUGCUUGGAGAAGGCCGCCCGCCGCCCCGCAGGCCGCAUCUGCUCGUCCGCCGCCAGGCAGCAGUUCGUCCACCGUGCCACAGUUGAGAGAGGAGGGGACGAGGGAGAGGAGCAGUAGGCAGCGCGGAUCGCGGGAGAUGGGCAGCCGGCAGCGCGGUUCGCGGCAGAGGAGCAGCCGGCGUCGCGGAUCGAGGAAGAAUAGCAGGCGGCGGCACAGUACAGAGAGGCAGAGGCGAUGCGGUUUGUGCACGAGAGAGAGGGCGAGGGAGCGUUCCGCG
rnacentral:rRNA from 1 species